UCAACGAACUGGUGGGAGGCGACUCCGGCCUCCGCUCCCUCCCUCCCUUCUUCCUCCACGACCUCAACACUAUCCAUAGCUCCAAUCGUCUUUUUGUAAUAGAAACUUCUCGAUAUCUCUCAAAUCCCUUCCGCCUGCGCAUUUUUUGUCGCAUUCCCAUUCCCACAGCCACGACCAUCUCCCCCUCUCCCAGCCUCCAUCGUUUUCCUCUCAUCGUGCUUCAAAAGAUGGCCAAUCUGACCCCAGCUAUGGUCCGACCCCAACCUCUUCUCUCACCUCCUGAACGCCUGCUGCCUACUCCCUUCGCCGCACUCCCUCCGUCUAGGCCGUCAGCUCCACACAAUCAUAGCCAUCGUCGGCGCUGCCUCUUUCCACCGCUUCACUGGAAACCACCUUUUCCACAUGUACCUCAAACUUGGCCGGGUCCCCGCCGCCCGCGCCGUGUUUGACGCAAUGGCAUGUCGAAACGUGAUGUCCUUCAACAUCCUCAUCGGCGGCCUCAUCCACAACGGGGACAUCAACGCUGCCCACAAGCUGUUGGAUGAAAUGCCAGAGAGGAACCUCGCCACCUGGAACGCCAUGAUUGCCGGGCUGGCUCACUUCGAGCUCGACGAGGAGGGACUCGAGUGCUUCCUGAGGUCGAGGAGGGAGGGCCUGCGUCCCGAUGAGUUUGGUUUGGGAAGCACCUUGUGAUGCUGCGCUGGAUUGAAGGAUGCAGGUUCUGGUCGCCAAAUCCAUGCCUUCGUGGUUAUCAAUGGGUUUGAGCAGGACAUGUGUGUUGGGAGCUCUCUAGCUCACAUGUACAUGAGAAGUGGUCGUCUUAGAGAAGGAGAAAGGGUUCUGAGAGGAUUGCCUUUCCUCAAUGUGGUCUCUUGCCAUACUGUGAUUGCAGGAAGAGCACAAAAUGGGGACCCUGAAGGGGCCUUCCACCAUUUCAUCCUCAUGAAGAAUGUCGGAUUGUUGCCAGACCAUGUAACCUUUAUUUCUUUAAUGGAGAAGUUAAUAUACAAUCUUUGACACCGAAAGCGAAGUUGCUAUUUUUAUGCCUCUGAAUCCAGGAAAUUAGAAGAACAGCAGCAACAGGAAGGUCCUGACUUCUCCCAUUACAAUUAGAGAUUACGUACAAUCUUGAAACCCCAUACGAGUUGAUGGAUUCGCCGGGUGCUGAUUGGAG